rnacentral:rRNA from 1 species
UACAGAGGGGGCCAGCGUUAUUCGGAAUUAUUGGGCGUAAAGGGCUCGUAGGCGGCCAACUAAGUCAGACGUGAAAUCCCUCGGCUUAACCGGGGAACUGCGUCUGAUACUGGAUGGCUUGAGUGUGGGAGAGGAAUGCGGAAUUCCAGGUGUAGCGGUGAAAUGCGUAGAUAUCUGGAGGAACACCGGUGGCGAAGGCGGCAUUCUGGACCAUUACUGACGCUGAGGAGCGAAAGCCAGGGGAGCAAAGCGGG